CUCCAGUUGGAUGCAUGUCCUUCUGGGAAAGAUUCAUCGGUAUGGGAUGGGGUCGCGUCCUAUCAGCUUGAUGGCGGGGUAACGGCCCACCAUGGCUUCGACGGGUAGCCGACCUGAGAGGGCGACCGGCCACAUUGGGACUGAGAUACGGCCCAGACUCCUACGGGAGGCAGCAGUGGGGAAUAUUGCACAAUGGGCGCAAGCCUGAUGCAGCGACGCCGCGUGCGGGAUGACGGCCUUCGGGUUGUAAACCGCUUUUGACUGGGAGCAAGCCCUUCGGGGUGAGUGUACCUUUCGAAUAAGCACCGGCUAACUACGUGCCAGCAGCCGCGGUAAUACGUAGGGUGCAAGCGUUAUCCGGAAUUAUUGGGCGUAAAGGGCUCGUAGGCGGUUCGUCGCGUCCGGUGUGAAAGUCCAUCGCUUAACGGUGGAUCCGCGCCGGGUACGGGCGGG
rnacentral:rRNA from 1 species